ACCUACUUGCCCGAGUGGUUAAGGGGCCACGCUAACGAGAGCCCAUGUGUUGGGGGGUGAGUGACGUGUUGUUGAAAGACGCGCGGGUUCGAAUCCCGCAGUAAGUA